UACGUAGGGGGCUAGCGUUGUCCGGAAUCAUUGGGCGUAAAGCGCGUGUAGGCGGUCCGGUAAGUCCGCUGUGAAAGUCGGGGGCUCAACCCUCGGAUGCCGGUGGAUACUGUCGGGCUUGAGUACGGAAGAGGCGAGUGGAAUUCCUGGUGUAGCGGUGAAAUGCGCAGGAUAUCGGGAGGAACACCUGUGGCGAAGGCGGCCACCUGGACGACAACUGGACGCUGAGACGCGAAAGCGUGGGGUAGCAAACAGG
rnacentral:rRNA from 1 species